rnacentral:rRNA from 1 species
CCUACGGGCGGCUGCAGUGGGGAAUAUUGGACAAUGGGCGAAAGCCUGAUCCAGCCAUGCCGCGUGUGUGAAGAAGGCCUUCGGGUUGUAAAGCACUUUCAGUGGGGAAGAAAGCCUUGGGGCUAAUACCCUCGAGGAAGGACAUCACCCACAGAAGAAGCACCGGCUAACUCCGUGCCAGCAGCCGCGGUAAUACGGAGGGUGCGAGCGUUAAUCGGAAUUACUGGGCGUAAAGCGCGCGUAGGCGGUCUGAUAAGCCGGUUGUGAAAGCCCCGGGCUCAACCUGGGAACGGCAUCCGGAACUGUCAGGCUAGAGUGCAGGAGAGGAAGGUAGAAUUCCCGGUGUAGCGGUGAAAUGCGUAGAGAUCGGGAGGAAUACCAGUGGCGAAGGCGGCCUUCUGGACUGACACUGACGCUGAGGUGCGAAAGCGUGGGUAGCAAACAGGAUUAAUACCCGGGUAGUC